rnacentral:misc_RNA from 1 species
ACUGGAGAGAAAAGAAAAAGAAGUUAAUAUUACGAUAUCGAUAUAAUUUCCAGGAUAGCCAAACAGAUUUUAAAUGUACAAAUGUAUGUUUGCCAACACAUGUUUGCUCAAAUGUCAGACCAGAUUAGGGUUUCAGAGCUACAUGUUGUACGGGUCCAAGUUGAAGAGAUCCCUUUAAUGUUGAAAAUCUCAUGGUGAUAAAUUGUUUUCAUUCAAUUUUCUAACAACUGUGAGUGGAAUUGGAGAGAUCUCAAUGAGUUGACUGUAUUGGCCCUUUUCAAUGGCAUGUAACUUUGCAUGACCCAGUAACUAUUGCAAAAAUUACGUUUAAAUUUUCAAUGGCUCUCAUUACAGAUAACCAUUCUGAGCUUCUCCGAGCUCAAUGCGAGAUGACAGUACCCUCACUUUUAGAACAAUGUGUAGAUACAAUAGCCUCGGGGAAUGGGGAUAAUGACUUUGUGACCAAGGUCAACUCAGCUGAAGUGAUGACAGGGCUGCCAGGAAUCCAGGAUGAAAACAACCAGACUGGUGCAAGCAAGACUUAGAUGAAGAACGCGAGGAAGCCGAAGAGUUAUGGUGUUAAACGGAAAGACACAGAGGACACUACAUGCACAAAGAAAAGUAGGAGUUGGAAAGAUGCGGACCUACAGAAGAAAACGUCCAGUUCCAAGAAAGAGCAGGUAUGGACUUGACUUGCCCCAACCCUGGAUGAGGAAACUGCCAUGGAGAUAGAGUUGCAAGACAGCCAAGGCACUCAAGAGCAUGAGGAAGUGGAUGCAGAAGGCAAAGUACAGAACACCAGCAGACAAUGCAUCCCACAUGCAAGAUCACGACUGGCCAUUAUCUCCAAUUCCAUUGCCUUCUAGCAGUGUGCAAGCAGACAUUCCAUCGAGCUGAAUGCAUGCAGGGAGUCAUGCAACUGCGUCUGCUCAAAGACAGUCAAUGUCGUUCAAAGACAGGCUUUGAGCAACAGGGAGCUGCUUCUUAAGAACAAUCGCCUUCUGUGACUUCUACCCAAAGAAAAUGUCAGCAACAACCAGCCAGAUUAUUCUGUGCAGAGCACAGGCACAUUUGCAUAGCCCACCGAGGGUAAAGUGGUACAUAUAUGUGCAUUUGAGGAUUCAUUACUUCCUCAAGAAAAUCUCAUGAGAAUGUACAACUCUAUUUCCAACUUUGCGUUAACUCUUGUGUGAGAGUUAUUUUCAGAGGAAGAAAUAUUUAAAUUCAACUGUAGGGGGUUAAAGAGCAAACAGGCAUUGGAUUCUGUCUGGCUAACUUUCGUGAAGGACACAAUCGAGAAAUAUGCAACAGUACCAAAGAAAGAGUAUGAGGAAUUUUAGGUCAAGAAAUUUGUCAUUGCUAUUGAUGAAGGGUGCAGGAGAAUAAGCAGAAAACCAAAGGGAAAUAAGAAAAAAGUCUCCUUGAACAGUUUAGCAUUUAUUCCCUAUAUAAGGUGUAUGGAUUGAUUAUUUUUCUAUUAUUUUUGACGCCCAUACAUGUACUUCAUUUGGAUAUUUUCUCGAUUCGUAAUUAUUCUUAUUUAUUCCCCCUAUAACAUAUUUGGAUUGAUUAUUAUGUACAUGUACAUGUAUUACCUAAUUUGAAAAAUUUUUGACACCCAAUUUUAAUUUUAGCACUUGUUUAGAAAUAAACGUGGAUGUCCAUAAAAAUUUUACAACUUUCUGUAGUGUAUUUUUCAAAAUACAGAUUAGCUCAUUAUGUCUCACCUAUUACUGUCUGACAUAUUUGGCUUAAUGGGUUCAGCAAACUGGCUGCAUGGCUUUGCAUCAAUCAGUAGAGGCCUCACAGGGUUGAGAGAAUGUAGUACUUCUUCAGGACCCAGACACCUAAAACUGUCUCGAGGGUAAUAAUUUGUGAAGCCAGAAGGCCACAAGGAAAUUACUGUUUAACCAUGGUAAGUUAGGUGCUAAAAAUGGCCACUUCGGCUUACAGUAGAUUUUUGAAGGGGCAACACACAAAUUAAAACUCUGCUGGUUUGAUUGCUGCUUUUUACGACAGUUGUUUCUUAACCAUCAAGCUGUUUCUGUCAUUUGGCCUAGGGAAUGGUUCCCUUGAUCUGUGUCCGAUAUUUCCAUUACACAUGGAAGAGGAAACCCUUAUGGAUUGCUGAAUUUUACGAUAGUUUUCCCCCUAUCGGCAAGCUGUUUCGGUAGCAGUAAGUUACCACUGGAAUUUACAGGCGUUGGCUUUCGGAUUGG